UACGUAGGGGGCAAGCGUUGUCCGGAUUUAUUGGGCGUAAAGCGCACGUAGGCGGCUUUGCAAGUCCCAUGUGAAAUCCCACGGCUCAACCGUGGAAGUGCAUGGGAAACUGCAGAGCUUGAGUACUUAAGAGGAUCGCGGAAUUCCCGGUGUAGAGGUGAAAUUCGUAGAUAUCGAGAGGAACACCUGCGGCGAAGGCGGGUUGCUGGGCUGACACUGACGCUGAACUGCGAAAGCUAGGGGAGCGAACGGG
rnacentral:rRNA from 1 species